rnacentral:rRNA from 1 species
GUUACAGCCUUGCUGAAUUAUUCACCCUUGUCUUUUGCGUACUUCUUGUUUCCUUGGUGGGUUCGCCCACCACUAGGACAAACAUAAACCUUUUGUAAUUGCAAUCAGCGUCAGUAACAAAUUAAUAAUUACAACUUUCAACAACGGAUCUCUUGGUUCUGGCAUCGAUGAAGAACGCAGCGAAAUGCGAUAAGUAGUGUGAAUUGCAGAAUUCAGUGAAUCAUCGAAUCUUUGAACGCACAUUGCGCCCUUUGGUAUUCCAAAGGGCAUGCCUGUUCGAGCGUCAUUUGUACCCUCAAGCUUUGCUUGGUGUUGGGCGUCUUGUCUCUAGCUUUGCUGGAGACUCGCCUUAAAGUAAUUGGCAGCCGGCCUACUGGUUUCGGAGCGCAGCACAAGUCGCACUCUCUAUCAGCAAAGGUCUAGCAUCCAUUAAGCCUUUUUUUCAACUUUUGACCUCGGAUCAGGUAGGGAUACCCGCUGAACUUAAGCA